AGGAUGACGAUUACGGCGAUUACGAGGGAGUCUUGAACGGUGGACCUGCGGAAUUUCGCGCUACUGUUUCUGGCGAAGAAACUCUACCGGGUACGCUUUAGACGCAAAAAAAACACACUACUAACAAAAGCGAGAGACGGCGGCAGACGGGCAAGUGACGUCGUGGAGGUUUUCGCGCCUCACGAAAAUCUCACGUCGGCCCACGACCCCCGGUCUUUCGUCUCUCUCCGAAAAUCCGCUUUGAAUCCUACUGCCGUCGCUAUAUCGGGCUAUCGUUGCUGCCGCUGAUACUGCCUGCUGCUCUGCCGCCCCGGCUUCCUAGACGAACAUGCCGAGAGUGUCGACGUAGCUACCUCGAAAACCGACGAGGUAUCGAGGAUCGACCGUAGACAAUCCGUAGCAGGGUCGUGCGGAACGAUCGAUCGAAUAGGUGCCAGAGGGUGGACGGGGACGGGGGACGAAGGUGGUGGUGUACGGGGAAAUAGCAGGAGGGUUGGUGUGAGGUUUCGGGAUACGGAGGUGGAGGAAGAGGGCUGGGUGGCGAUGGUGGUGGUGAUUAGUUGCAGUGUUUUGGAAAACAAUGCGCAGAAUUUCGACGGCGAUAAAUAAUAAAGGAUAAAUAAAGUGUAUCGGGGUACGGUGAAGUGAACGUGUGCCAAUAAAUAAUCCGGCGGGAUUAUGCACUGUGCGCUGUGCGCCGAGAAUAAAAGCGAGACGAGAGAUCGGGGAAAAAAAAUAUCCCUGCGUUCCCCGGAAAUAUUAUUCCUCGCGCGCGCAAGCGCGCGGGCGCGCGCUUCUUCUUUGUCAAUCCGGGCUAUUCAUAGGGAAAAAUUGCGGCGUAGCGAGCAAGUACCCAGCGUCAGUGAAUAGCGAAUUAUUGGCUUGACUCAAUAAAUUGCUCCGUUCGUCGAUCCCGCUCUUUCAGAAAUGAUAUAACAUUCCUUUCUACAGAUGUAAUUGCAACCACUUGGCAUUGUAUUCAGGAAUAUUAAAGUCGUUGUACCGAAAA